CUUAACCCUAACCCUCCCAAAAAUCUAUCUUUUCUCACCUUCACGCCGCCAUUGUCUUUGCCGUCUCCGCUGCUCUGGUUUGGUGCUCCGCCGCUGCUCUGGUAUCAAAUUGAGUAUGAUUUAGCUUACCCAUGGAACUUCAGGAAAAAGGAAAAAAUUAUUUUGGGCCUUUCGCAUUUGGCAUGGGAGGUAUUGGAAAGAUUUUACAGUUGAUCCCAUCCUAGCUUCCUAUGGGGUGGUGGAUAACUCAAUAUUUACAAUAAUCCACCUCAUAGAGACGACGAUGAACAAUGAGUUGGGAAGAUCACUCUCGAUGAAACUUUCAAAGAAAAGGAGGCUCUAGAUGAGAACAUUGUGAGAACAAUCAAUGAGAAUGUCUGCGUUUUAAUAUCCGGAAUAUAUCUCUACCACCUAAAGUUCUGAAGAUGCAAGCUACCACUCUGAAGAUGUAAGCUGAACUAGAAAGAAGAAAACAUGCUCGAGUUCUUGAAUCUGAAGGAGAAGCUGAAACAAUCCUUAAUAGGUCUAAGGCAAUUACUCAAAGUCUCAAGAUAGUUUCACAAACCAUCAAUGCUCAAGGUGGUGCAGAGGUAAGAUGGUCUUUCCUCAUCACAUUCAGAUUGUGCCAAACAUCACUUAAAUUUUAUUCUUAUAAUUUGAAUUUUAUCAUUCAUCUAAAUUCUAAAAACGAGCUUUAUUUGUCUUCAGGAAGCAAGACAGAGAGUUUAUUGUUGGUGCAACCUUAGGUCAAGGUUGACCUGGUUGACCCGACUCGAGGUGACUUGACUCGAGUUGUAUUUUGAUGUUUGA